rnacentral:rRNA from 1 species
CACGCCCUAAACGAUGAAUACUCGAUGUUGGCGAUAUACGGUCAGCGUCUAAGCGAAAGCGUUAAGUAUUCCACCUGGGGAGUACGCCCGCAAGGGUGAAACUCAAAGGAAUUGACGGGGGCCCGCACAAGCGGAGGAGCAUGUGGUUUAAUUCGAUGAUACGCGAGGAACCUUACCCGGGCUUGAAAGUUAGUGAAUGUGACAGAGACGUCACAGUCCUUCGGGACACGAAACUAGGUGC